UAGGUAGGAGUCGGCGACCCGGUGGGUAUGCCGAUAGCACACGUAUCCGCAUCCGGUAUGACCGGUAUGCGUGCAGGUGGAGACCUUGUUGCAAGAAUGC
rfam:Methanohalobium evestigatum Z-7303, complete genome.